rnacentral:misc_RNA from 1 species
GCCGUCGCCGACGCCUUCUUCCACCGCGCCGAUAUAGUUUUUCGGCACGGCGCCGCCGACGAUCUUUUCGCGGAACACGACGCCGCUGCCGCGCGGCAACGGCUUGAUGUCGAGCACCACAGCACCACGUCGCCGACCUGGCCAUGGCCGCCGGACUGCUUCUUGUGACGCCCGCGCUGGGUGAUAGUCUUGCGGAUGGUCUCA